ensembl:lncRNA
GUCAAACGGCCUUUCUUGCCAAGCCUUAACUCGCCACUUUAGAACUUCUGCUUCUGCCACAAUUGCACCUUGCCCACCCGGCUCAGAUGAAAUGCCUACAUCUUCCCCUGAAGCAACUGGGCUGAGUCCCAAAUGAUUGAGCGUCCAUGUGCUUAGGAGCCGAUAGACUGUACGCCUUUUUCCAACCACCAUUGUGCACUGCUGGAGAAAGUGUCGGAAAGCAGCUAUGUCAGAAAGACCCCUUUGCUCUCAGCCGUGCCCUCCAUUGCUCUAGACGUGGAAUGCACAAUGCACUGGCUCCACCCCUCAAGGGGCAUCAAGCCACAGACCACCUUGCUUCCAUCUCUUUAGGAAGCUGAGAAGGAACUCGCUUUCAACAGUGAUCUUACAGCAUCCAGGGAACAUUUCAUACAAAGGCAGCUGAAACGCCGUUUCUUUUCAGCCCUUAACUCGCCGAUUUGGAACUUCUGUUUCUGCCACAUUUCCACCUUGCCAACCGAGCUCCGACGAAAUGCCUACAUCUUCCCCUUCAGCAACGGGGAUGAGGCCCAUAUGACUGUGCUUCCACAUGCUUAAGAGGAGAGAGACAAUAGGCUUUUUACACAUCACGAUUGUGCACUGGUGGAGAGAGUUUCAGAAUGCACCUAUGUCAGAAAGGUCCCUUUGAUCUCAGCCGUGCCCCGAAUUGCUCUAGAGGAGGAAGGCACAAUGCACUGGCUCUGGCUCCACCCCUCAGUGGCAGACGAACCACAAACCUUCUUGCGUCCAGCUCUUUAGGACGCUGAGAAAGAGCUCACAUUCCAUAGUGCUCUUAGAGCGUCCAGGGAACAUCUCAUACAAAGGCAGCUGAACACCGUUUCUUCCAGCACUUCACUCGCCAAUCUGGAACAUCUGCUUGUGCCACAUUUCCACCUUGUCAACCCGGCUCAGACGAAAUGCCUACAACUUCCCUUAAGCAAUGGGGACAAGGCCCAGAUGAUUGCGGUUCCACCUGCUUAGUAGGAGAGAGACAAUAGGCUUUUAACCAACCGCCCUUGAGCCAUGGUUGUGGGAGUGUCAGAAAGCACCAAUGUCAGAAAAGGCCCUUUGCUCUCAGCCGUGCCCUCCAUUGCUCUAGAGGUGGAAGGCACAAAGCACUGCCUCCAUCCUACAAUGGGAGACAAGCCAUAAACUGUCUUGCCUCCAGCUCUUUAGGAAGCUGACAAACAACUCGCUUUCCACAGUGCUGUUAGCGCAUACCAGGAACCUCUCAUACAAAGGCAGCUCAAAGGCCAUGUCUUCCCAGCCCUUAACUCGCAGCUUUAGGACUUCUGCUUCUGCCGCAAUUGCACCUUGCCAACCCGGCUCAGACGAAAUGCCUACAUCUUCCCCUUAAGCAACUGGGCUGAGUCCCAAAUGAUUGAGCGUCCACGUGCUUAGGAGGUGAUAGACUGCACGCCUUUUUCCAACCACCAUUGUGCACUGCUGGAGAGAGUGUCGGAAAGCAGCUAUGUCAGAAAGACCCCUUUGCUCUCAGCCAUGCCCUCCAUUGCUCUAGAUGUGGAAUGCACAAUGCACUGGCUCCACCCCUCAAGGGGCGACAAGCCAAAGACCAUCUUCCUUCCAUUUCUUUAGGAAGCUGAGAAACAACUCGCUUUCAACAGUGCUCUUUCUGUGUCCUCGCAACAUCUCACACAAAGGCAGCUGAUAUGCCUUCUUUUCAGCCCUUAACUCGCCAAUUUGGAACUUCUGCUUCUGCCAGAUUUCCACCUUGCCAACACGGCUCAGAUGAAAUGCCUACAUCUUCCCCUUCAGCAACAGGGACGAGGCCCAGAUGAUUGUGCUUCCACAUGCUUAGCAGGAGCAGACAAUAGGCUUUUUACAAACCGCCAUUGUGCACUGGUGCAGAGAGUGUCAGAAUGCACCUAUGUCAGAAAGGGCCCUUUGCUCUCAGCCGUGCCCUCCAUUGCUCUAGAGGUGGAAGGCACAAAGCACUGCCUCCAUCCUUCAAUUGGAGACAAGCCAUAAACUGUCCUGCUUCCAGCUCUUUAGGAAGAUGGGAAAGCACUCGCAUUCCACAGUGCUCUUACAGCAUCCUGGGAACAUCUCAUACAAAGGCAGCUGAACGCCCUGUCUUUUCAGCCCUUAACUCGCCAAUCUGCAACAUCCGUUCUGCCGCAUUUCCACCUUGCCAACCCGGCUCAGACAAAAUGCCUACAUCUUCCCCUGAAGCAACUGGGCUGAGUCCCAAAUGAUUGAGCGUCCACGUGCUUAGGAGGCAAUAGACUGCACGCCUUUUUCCAACCACCAUUGUGCACUGCUGCAGAGAGUGUCGGAAAGCAGCUAUGUCAGAAAGGCCCCUUUGCUCUCAGCCGUGCCCUCCAUUGCUCUAGAGGUGGAAGAAACAAGGCACUGGCUCUGGAUCCACCCCUCAAUGGGAGACAAACCACAUCUUGUCCUGCUUCCAGCUCUUUAGGAAGCUGAGAAAAAACUCCCUUUCCACAGUGCUCUUACAGCGUCCUGGGAACAUCUCAUACAAAGGAGGCUGAACACCAUUUCUUUUCAGCACUUCACUCGCUGGUCUGGGGCAUCUGCAUCCUGCACAUUACCAUCUUGCCUACCCGGCUCAGACAAAAUGCCUACAUCUUCCCCUUGAGCAAUGGGGACGAGGCCCUGAUGAUUGUGCUUCCACAUGCUGAGGAGGAGAGAGACAAUAGGCUUUUAACUAACCACUAAGUGCAAUGGUUGGGAGAGUGUCAGAAAGCACCAAUGUCAGAAAGACCCCUUUACUCUCAGCCAUGCCCUCCAUUGCUCUAGAGAUGGAAGGCACAAAGCACUGCCUCCAUCCUUCAACUGGAGACAAGCCAGAAACUGUCCUGCUUCCAACUCUUUAGGAAGCUGGGAAAGCACGUGCAUUGCACAGUGCUCUUACAGCGUCCUGGGAACAUCUCAUUCAAAGGCAGCUGAACGCCGUGUCAUUUCAGCCCUUAACCCGCCAAUCUGCAACAUCUGCUUCUGCCGCAUUUCCAGCUUGCCAACCCAGAUGAGACGAAAUGCCUCCAUCUUCUCCUUG